rnacentral:pre_miRNA from 1 species
UGGACAGAUUAUUGUAUUCGAUUGUAUUCAUGGCGUGAAAUAGGGGAUUACACUGUUUUUAAAACGGAAAGUGAAUCAAUUAACAUAAUAGACUCCU